rnacentral:sRNA from 1 species
GCCGCCGGCUGCUGGAGCAGAGCUUGGAGAAACUAAGACCUUCCCUCCCCGCCGCAGGACAUUAAGAGCGGCCGCUCCCCGCUCAUCCACGCCGUGGAAAACAACAGCCUUAGCAUGGUGCAGCUGCUGCUGCAGCACGGCGCCAACGUGAACGCGCAAAUGUACUCCGGCAGCUCCGCCCUGCACUCAGCGUCCGGCCGCGGGCUCCUCCCGCUGGUGCGCACGCUGGUCCGCAGCGGCGCUGACAGCAGCCUCAAGAACUGCCACAACGACACGCCGCUCAUGGUGGCGCGCAGCCGCAGGGUCAUCGACAUCCUGAGGGGGAAGGCCACCCGGCCUGCUUCCACCUCCCAGCCAGACCCCUCCCCUGACCGGAGCGCCAACACCUCCCCCGAGAGCAGCAGCCGCCUCAGCUCCAAUGGUCUUCUCUCCACAUCACCAUCCUCCUCACCCUCCCAGUCUCCCCCCAGGGACCCCCCUGGAUUCCCCAUGGCUCCUCCCAAUUUCUUCCUUCCUUCCCCAUCUCCACCCACCUUCCUGCCCUUUGCUGGGGUCCUCCGAGGCCCUGGCCGGCCGGUGCCCCCCUCCCCAGCUCCAGGAGGCAGCUGAGGGGGAUGGGGGGGCAGAUCUUGGACUCAUGAGGAGGGGCCCCCCUGCCCUGUGGGGUCAACCCUUCUGGAAACUGUGAAGAUCUCACUCUGCCCCCCCCCAUCUUCGGGACCAGGAUUUGCACAGAAGCACAUGCACCUACCCAUACACCCCCUCUUCUGAGCACAGAUGUUCCCCCAUCUCGCUCCCUCCCAGGACUCUGACCCC